GCCAAUGUGGCGUAGUGAUUUGACCAUUGGACUAUGACUCUGAAGACCAGGGUUCAAAUCCCAGCUUGGUCA